ACCCUUCCAGCUCAGUCGGUAGCGCAUGGGACUCUUAAUCACAGGGUUGUGGGUUCAGUCCCCACAUUGGGCA